GAUGAAGAACGUAGCGAAAUGCGAUAAGUAAUGUGAAUUGCAGAAUUCAGUGAAUCAUCGAAUCUUUGAACGCACAUUGCGCCCGCCAGUAUUCUGGCGGGCAUGCCUGUUCGAGCGUCAUUUCAACCAUCAAGCCCCAGGCUUGUGUUGGGGACCUGCGGCUGCCGCAGGCCCUGAAAACCAGUGGCGGGCUCGCUGUCACACCGGGCGUAGUAGAUUUUAUCUCGCUCAGGGCGUGCUGCGGGUUCCGGCCGUUAAAAAGCCUUUUUUACCCAAGGUUGACCUCGGAUCAGGUAGGAAGACCCGCUGAACUUAAGCAUAUCAAUAAGGCGGAGGA
rnacentral:misc_RNA from 1 species